UCCCUGCAUACCUGACAGUUCCUGGAUGCAGCCGUGAUGAGCCACACUUGCCCCAGGCCCAGAGCUCUUGUAUCAAGAGACCAGCCUGGAAGCUGCUCUUUAUAAGCUGCUGUGCUAGGGUGAUGUGUUUGUAGAGGACAGGCAGACAGACCGACAAGCGACUCAGUUCCUCAAGCCUCGGGCUCCCCAUCUGAAAUAUGGGGAUAGGAAUCGGGGCACUGCUUCUAGGGGGUCGCAAGGAUGAGGCACACAGUCUGGGCGCCGGGCACAUAGCCAGCGCUCAGGACGAUGCGCAGGUACAUGCCCAGGUGCACAGAGGAGGGGCGAGGGGCUCCGUCAGGUUGGGAAUCUUCCCAUCCUGUGUCUGCUCUGGACAAGCUGGGCUGACCACAUGGACAAGGGCACCCUGGCGGAGGGCACAGGACGUCUGGAAACACUGAGGCCUGAGAAAGCCCGUGGACUCAGAGGCUGGGGCAUGGGCCCGAGUGCCAAAGGGCCUGGAGAGCCGGGCAGCAGAGCAAGAGCGGCGGCCCGCCCUAGCUUUCCUCCUGGGAGUCUCCUCAUCUCCUGCUGCCUGCUGGAUAGCGAGGACCAGCUGGCUCGAGGGCCUGGGCUAACGUUUCCACUCAGGAGUUCCAAGUUACCUGGAAGAACUCGGCAAGUGCCCAGUAGUGAGGGUUCAGAAGUGUCAAUUUGGGACCCUGUCCUGCCCCUCAAGGGUGUCCUGGUUUUCUGCCCCUGCUGCAGCGAUGCUGUGAGAAGAAAUAAAAGCAUCUCUGGGAGCCCUGAAAGCAUCGUUGGCCUGGCCCUGAGCCUGCUGUGCCUCAGGGAAACGUGGGCCUGCUAGAGGACCCCCAACCUCAACAUCCCAGACUCGCUGGGCAAGCUCCCCUGUUAACCUGGAGACGCCCCACCUCCAUCCAGGCUGUGACCCCAAGCGAGGCUGAGUGUCAUUCAUCACUGCCGCAGCCCGGAGCCCUCUCUUCACAGGGAAGGACACUGAGAUCCGGAGAGUUGCCUGCCUUGCCCAAGGCCCUGCUGUGGAUCCAGAGCCCAGGUCCGAGAAUUCUCGUUCAGGUGGUUCUUUUUAAAGAAAGGCGAGCAGCUUCUUCCACAGUUUCUCCUGCCCACUCCUUCCUUCCUCCCCGGUUCUUCCCAACUUUGCUCUUAGGCUGGCGUCACAGCAGGAUGGGGCUGGGAGAAUGAGUCUGGGGGAGAGGGGAAGGCAGUGGGCAGGACAGACCAGGUAAGUGGGCAGUGGCUACUGCAGACUCCUCAGCUGCCACUCACUCUGGGCUCGAGGCCAGCUUCUCCAGGAUCCCUGGAUCCCCUGACGGCCCUGCGUGUUCCUGGCAGACAGGCAUCCCCAGGACACGCUGCAGGAGGGAGUCUCCCUUGGGGAUGUGUGUGGGAGCUGUACAUUUCACGUCUCCGUCCAGAGAGCGGGAUCCAGCCCCUGCUCGCUGAGGGCAGAGGUGCUGCCCGGCUGCCUCCGGCUCCUGGGAGAAACCUGAGGCCCCAUGGAGCUCCACUGGCCUUUUCCUAGAACAGGAAAAGAAACGGGAAGUGUGGAUGUAAAAAUAGAAGCUCCAGCCAGUUGGGGCAGGCCUGGAGUCGGCGGGCCUCAUGUCUUCCGUCUUCCGAAGGCUGGGCUUGGGCAUGCCCAGCACCCUCCCUCCCCUCACACUUUCUGGGCACCUCCUGGGCCCCCAGCACUGGGAUGGGCACAGAUGGAGCCACCAAGGCCUCCUGAACUGGACACGGUGGUGGGGCCACUGUGAUUCAUGGGGGUGGCUGGCCAAGGUCCUGUGAGGCAGAACCAGGCUGCAUGGUCCCUCCAGUGACUGGCCCUGCGCAAGCACAAGGCAGGUGGGCUUGGAACCAGCAGACGGGGAAGAAGCCAGGUGCCCUGCAGCCGUCCCGAACAGGGGAGCUUGAGCAGGUUGCUGCGCGCCUGAACCUCCACCUGGGGCGACAGCUUCGUUCCAGGGCUGGGGUGAGGCUGGGGUGAGCCACACACACAGCACCCAGUGGGCGUGUGAGUCUCCUUGCCCCACUGGCUGGAGAUGUGAUGCCUCCCUCUCCUCUGCCCACCCCACCAUCCAGACAGGCUGACCCACUUCUGAGCUGCCUCUGACAGCAAACCUUUCCCAGGCAGGUUAAAUUGAAGGGCUGGAGAGUGGAGUGGGGGGCUCAUGAAUACCCCCCAAGCACUAAGCACCUGCUGUGCCCACCCCCAGACCAUCCUCACACUCUCCACUCCACUGUCAGAAGCGGACCUGGGCUCUCCUCCCUCAGCCCUGGCCUUGAGGCUGAGGCCUGGCCCUGGGGCAGGACCAGCCGACUCCCGGUUCUGCCCAAUGUGGCCCGCAGGCACUGAGCACAGGCUGGAGGCCAGCCUUCCAUUCCGCCCAUCCCCUCACUAGGCGGUCAAGGUCCCCUGGAGCCUCUGUUUCCCCAUCAGCCAAAUGGAAAUCCCAGCUCCCACCCUGCCUCCUGAGAGAAUGGGGAAACCCACUUGUGUAAACUGUAAUGUGCUGUGAAGACAGGAAGGGCCGCAGGCUGCAGGAAGCAGGGCUCCCCUCUACGGCAGCAGCAGAAGCACCGGCAGCUCCUGCUGGGCUGGCCUCCACCACGUUUCCCUCCUGCCCUCUGGUCCCCAUGGAGUCUGUCAUCUUCUGGCCACUCUCAGCUGAUGCUGAAAGUGAGUCAGGCGAGAAGAUGACCUGAGUGCAGGUGAAUCACGGGACCAGGAGGAGGAAGUGGAUUGUCACCAGACUGUCCUUCUGAGAGGCCAAGAGAGCAAGAGCGUGCCAUCCCAGCCCGAGCGACCUCUCCGGCAGGAGCAGAAGGUCCCUGCCUGAGCUCCUGGAGGCCCAGCCCUGUGCUCCACUGUCCCUCCAUCCACUGUCUGAACACCAGGUAGCUGAAGGCCGAUUCUGGGUCAGCGUGCAUGAGGUUCCUCUGGGGAGCACUGGAGCAGGAGUCCUGCUGAGGAACUCUGUGCUGUGACUGUUCCUGUAGCCCUGAUCUUAGGGCUGAGCCCUCUGCCUGUCCCAGACUGUGGUGUCCCGAGGAACACAGGUCACCUAAGUUCAUUCUCACGCCGUCUUCCCAUGAGCUGCUCGUGUGGACAUUACAACCCCAUUUUACAGAUUGCUUUUCCCCUGGAGCAAACUAAAUCUUGGAGAUCUUGCCCUGUCAGGAGGUUGAAAUCUACCUUAUGACCUGCAACUGCCGCGGAGGACAUGGGGCCGCAGAGGACUGCCGAGACAGGAAUUCUCAUGCCCAUUUUACAGAUGAGGAAGUUGAGGCUCAGAGAGGGCCCAGGCAGCCAAGGCCCUAAUUACGCAGGCUUCCCGAGGAGGAGGAAGAACGAGGGGAAGUGGCCCCAGCCUCCUUACGCACUGUUUCCUCCUGACUCACUGCUGACCCGCUUGCCAGCCGGAAGUCACCAAAUUUCCCCAAACUUAUGGGUACCUGCCAGGUCAUGGGCCUGGUCCCAUUCUCCCCAGACGGGCCCGCCUCAGCUGACCUACCUCCCAGGCAUUUGGCUGAAAGAGGCCAAGCAGGGUGAUCCUGAGGAGCUGGGGAGGCAGGUGGGGGCGGGGAGACACUCAGGGUAUGGCCAGGGUGUGUCCUCGGUGCCAGCGCCCCACACAGCGUCCUUGGCCUGGUUUCCCCAGGGCAGCGCUCACCUGAUCACCUUGUGCCAGUCUCCUUGGAGGCCACCGGCUUAUUCACAAGGCCACUUGUGCCCAGUGGCCAAAGGGCACCAUAGCCAGUAGGGUCUGCCUGCCCUCCCAUCACAAAGGGUCCCAGAGAGGAGGCGCCCUACCCCACAGGGCCUUGGGCUUGGUCUGCAGGUCCUGUGCACCCCAGGCCCUCCUGCUCUGCUGGCCGUGUGGCCUGGACAGGCUGCCUCUGGUCCCGGGCUUCUUAACCUGUGCAACGGAGAUCCUCAGAUCUACCUUGUGCAGCUGUUGCCUGGAUCAGAUGGAACCCUGUGUUCAGAAGGCAUGGGGUGGUGCUGGCUGCAGGCUGCUGCCCUGGGGCUUUCUGAGCCGCAUCCCCAGGGCCAUCAAAUCCUGUGGGGCUCGCUUGUGGAGUUCCCAGUCUGCCUGCAGAGCAGAAUCUCUUGGGAGAUUUUAAACAGAUUUCACUUUGUGUCAAAUCCUGUUCAUAUUUUACACGUCCAACAUUCUACAGAAGAGGACAGAAUUUGUGGUGCCCCGGGUCCCCACAUCCAUGACCAGCCCACGUCCAUCUUGUUUAUUUAUACUCUGCCAACUACUUCCUUUCUUCCUAUUGGAAUCAACCCAAGGAGGUAUUUUUUAAGUACAAGUGCCAGAUUCUCACCUCCAGGAAUUUAAUCGAGUCAUCCAGGCCCAGAAAAAGGGUAUUUCCGCAAAGCUCCGGGAGACGUGGAGGUGCAGCCAGGGCCCGCCUGCGGGGCAGGGAGACCUGGGGCGCUGCCUCCAGAGGGUCUGGGAGACGUGGUGAGACCCCAGAGCAGUGGGGACAGACUCGAGGGGUGCACAGCACCUCCACUCCAGACGAGGAGAGAAACCACACGUGGAGACAGAUCCCACCCCAUGCCCACCUCAGGGUCUGAGAGGGAGAGGCCGACUCCCUCUUGGCUGCCUGGAGAGGCUGCUGACAGAGCCGUCAAUCCCACGCUCUGGGGAGAGCAAAGACCUGUGUGGACAAACCCACCCAGGAGAGUGGUUAACUGGCCAACCGCAAGGCUGCACAUUCCCGGGGGACUGAGCCAGCCGGUUCCUAUCAAAGGAGAGCCUGGCGCUGGCAGAGCUGGCGACAAAGGAUGCUUUGUUCCCCCGUUAAAAUAAACACUUCCCCUGGAUGUUUACUCCCACGUCUCGAAUGUAAUAUGGGGUGUAAGUUACUCUUUAACAGCUGACUUGGUCCAGGCCACCGAACUCUCCUGCACUAAUUUCCUGGAAGAAAGGCGUUCCCACCACCAACCCAGGUGUUUAUUAACCACGCCCCUUGGCGGUCAAGGAGAAGCUGGGUGCGGCUGUCACCUCUGAGAACCCGUGUGUCCUUGGGGGGCCACCCUCAGCCUUCCCUGAAGAACCAGUAGCGAGUUGACCAGUGAGUCCUCGGCUGUCUGGACAGGGAAACUUGAGGCUAGUGGGGUAGUUUUCCUCUGUGAGGUGAGAAACCUGUCUGUUCAGUCCCCACUUUGAGAGAACACAGUCGACCUAGGCUCCUGGGGAAAGUGGGCAUCCGGCUGGCCAGGCCGGCCCCCAGCACCAGGGCCCAGCGCACACCCACUGCAACUAUUACCAG
ensembl:lncRNA